rnacentral:lncRNA from 1 species
GAGCAGAAAUUAGACUAUCGCUAUUGAAGCAACGGGAGGCAGAGAAGCAGUUGGAUAGUCAACCAAACCAUAGCGAGCAAGCAAACAAGAUUCCGUUUUUCAUAAGCAAACCGAGGAUCAAAAGCCCUGCCCUAGUGCGCCUAACCUAAGAUGCAACCGGGGCAGAGGAGAGAUCAAUUCAAUUAUACAUGCCUGCAUCAAACCCGGGGAUAGAAGUGGAUUACUGUUGCUUGCCUUUACCCACCGCCCCUGCUCACCGACACCGAUGCCAAUGAACAGAGUUAGAAGCAGUCAACAGUCAACCGUUAGCAAUAGAUAACAGUAGUUCGGAACCAGCUUCGGGGAAGGGAAAUCUGACUCUAGCGUUAGCCUCAACCGGGGAAGGUAAAGCCUAUUCAAAGCCUACUAUCUCUAUUGCAUCAACCGGGGGAUAGUAUUGUUUAGUAGAUAGCGCAUUAAUGCCGUAUGCCUACUCUGCCUGAUCAUAAUGUUCUUUUUCAGUCCCAACCGGGUAGAUGGGCAAAGCAAGCAAACGAUAGCGAGCACUGCCUUCUGUUGGUUUUUCUGUUCCCGUACUGCCCGCUUCAAUUACUAGAUAGCGCUUCAAAUGAUACGAUAGCUGCUCGGGGAAGGUAAAGCAAAGGGAUGGAACCAGCAAACGGUUUUGAGUAAAGCCUACUUCUAUCUAUUGAGGCAAAGCUUCGGGAGGCAUCUUCGCAAACCAUGGCCUGAUCUCCAUUAUCUUUUUAAGCCUCAACCAACCGGGCUCGAGUCAACUAAAUGAGUAGAUAGCUACCAAGUAAUAAAGUAAGGGCGGAGAGUUCCGUGCCCUAUUCAAUGCCGUAGAUAGCCUUAUCUCCAUGUUCUUUUGAAUUUAUUGCCGUAGUGCCCGCUAUUGAUUAAUGUUGUAUUGAAGCUGCAACCGGGGUCUUAUCUUAUAAAGUACAUGAUACGUGCCCGCUGAAACCAGAGAUAGCCUUAGAAGCCUACGGUUUAAAGCCCUAGUAAGCCCAUCCCACAUGCCCUAUUCAAUCAAAGCCAUAGUCCACUAUUGAUUAGUAGAUAGCUACAACAUAAGGAGAGUCAAGUCAAUGCCUACCAUAGCUAUUGAUAUAUGUUCUUUUGAAGUUCCCGUAGAACACUAUAGAAUAGAACCAAACGGGGGAGAGGCAAUUAUACUCACUGAAGCAAACUCCAGCAUCAAGGAGAUAGCGGCAAACAGGGUUUUUGAAAGGAAAGCCUACAUAGCGUUAGCCUCAACCGGGGUCGAGUCAACUAAAUGUGUAUCAAGUCAAUGCCGUAGAUAGCCUUACCUAAGAAGCAAACCGGGUCUUUGAAAGGAAAGCUGGACCUUAGAAGCAGUAGUUCCCACAUCAGUCAAUGCCGUAGAGCCGAGAUCAAACAAAGCCUACUCACUCUAUCUAUUGAAGCAAAGGGCAGAGCCGAGAUCAAGAGCAAAGAUAUCGAAAUGCCCGUUGAAAGCUAUGAAUGUGGAAAUGGGAUGGAUAGGAUAGAUCGAAGGGAAUGUGUACUCCAUGUUGUUUUUCAGUUCUCGGGGAUAGGAAUAGUUGUAAGGAAGCUGCAAACCGAGCAGAGGAUUCAAAGCAGUACUCCACCUUAGAAGGAGAAAAAAGUCAAUGAGUAGUGCCAGCUUCAAUGAGUGGAUAGCCUUAUCUAUAUGUUGUCUGAAAUAGUGGUUUUGAUUCUAACAGUUCUUUUUCUGUUCCCGUGGAUAGCCUUACAAGCUUAGGGGCAGAGGAGAUUCAAUUAGUAGAUACUGCUUCAAACCCGGGGAUAGACAACUCUCCAAACUCCGGGAUCAAUUAAAUGAGUAGUGCCCGCGGAAAAGCCUACGAGUCAAUCAAGUCAAGCUCUCCAUGUUGUUUUUCAGUUCUUUCCUUAGACUUUAUUAUAGAUUUUUUAGCCUAGUAAAUGAAGAGCAGAUCUUUCCGUACCGGGAUCAGCAGGGGGGGAAUUAGUGUAAGGAAGUAGCAAACCGUUUAAACCCGUAGUGCGAGGGGAAGCGAGCCAGGAACCGAAGAGGCAAGUCCCAUACAUAGCUAUUGAUAUAUGAAGUUAGUAAGCACCUGGCCAUUUCUCCAUGUUGUUUUUAACCCGUAGUCCGCUAUAGAUGUAAGGAAUAGUGGUUUUUCAUCUUCUUUUUCAGCCGUAGAUAGCUAUUCAAUUAGUACAUAGCCUGUCCCGAGACGAGAGACUCUUCCUUUCUGUUGCGGGGAGGCUCUUUUCAGCCAGCCCCUAAGGACUGCUACUUUGACUCGUACUGUCUCACCAGCAAACUCCGGUAUCAAAGCAGUAGUGCCCCUAAAGAAGUCUUUUUCACCCGUAGUGCCGAGUAAAGGAAAGCGGAUAGCGCUUCAAACCCGGUGUCGAGUAAAGUAAAUGAGUAGUGCCCGCAUCAAAGCCUACAAUUGCUAUUGAAGCAACCGGUUUAAAGUCAGGCCGUAGAACGCUAUAUCGUUAUCUAACUGUAGUCAGGUAAGGGCCCAAGAGGAGAGCUUCCUGUGCUUGACAAGUAGUCCAAAUCUCCUAGGGAUCGGGUCUACGGGAACCAGACCUGAAAUCGAGGCAAGGCAAGCUGUAGUGCCCUAUUCAACCGGUCUCGAGUCAAGUAAAGUCUCCGUGCCCGCUGAAAUGUGUAGUGUCGAGUAUUGUCAAUUAGUAGUAGUAGUGCCCCUUAUCGUGGGGAAUUUAUUGCCGUACAUAGCCUUAUCUGUAAAGGAAGAGUAUAUAGGUUGUACCGUACCNNNNNNNNNNNNNNNNNNNNNNNNNNNNN